CACGACUUGCUAAACUACUGGUGCCUCAUUCUCGUGUGUUUUACUAUGUUGAGCUACGCCCUUUACCUCCCCUCCACAACUUCUCAACGCGCGCCGACGCUGCAGCGUAUAGUCAAAAAUUUAGAUAGAAACAGAAACCAUCCAUCGGUGACGAAGCGAUCCGACCACCACACGAAGUUUUAUAAAGCAAUGCUCAGACACGGGCGGUAUAAAAAUGAGGCGAAUUUUAGCGACAUAUUGUUUAGAACUUUUGAUUUAAAUACAGACAAUGUUAUAGAGAAAGACGAGUUUAAGGCAGUGCUUCAUCUGCUGGGCAUCCUGCACAACCAAUAGAAGCCAAGCAAAACCCUAACCCGAUGCCUCACGAUUUCUACGUCACGAUUUCUGCGUCACGAUUUCUGCGUCACAAAUGUAGCUCGGAUGUACAGUUUCAUUUUCACGUGUAUGUGACCAUGACGUCACAAAACUGAUAAAAAAUCCCCCCAGUCAUAUAAGUAUACCUGUGCUGUGUCCUAUUCCUGUCCUGUUCCAUGUCCUUUGCCAUGUCCUGUACCGUCAACAAAGAAAGCGUGAUGCUGCCAUUGAAGAAAAAAAAUGUAACGAAUUUGACACAUCGUCGAAGAAGCGUCCAUAUGUUUAUCUAAAUGUGAAAUUACUGUGGAUACAGUUGCUGUGCUUACCUGGAUAACUUAAAGUUGGUUAAUGGAUUAAACAGUACAAGUCCUUAAUUAAGUUGAUGUUUCAACUAUUAGAAAAAAAUGAUUUGUUUAUUUAUUAGAAUACGAAAGUAACAUUUAAAAAAAAAAUUAGAUUACAAAUUAAUUUUUAAACACGUUUCCAUUUGCCUAAAGAAAAAAAAAACAUCUAAAAAUAAAUUCAAGAUUUCUUUUUACAUAGAGUCCAAUAUUUUUUAAAGAAGGAUAAAUUGUAAUUUCUUGUACUCGCAGUUUCUUAUUUACUAUGGUAUUUUGUUACAAGUAUUAAACACGUCUAAAAUGUCAGUUAAGUUGAUUGGCUUAAAAAAGAACUGUGUGUAAUUAAGUUACAUAUUUAUGUAUUUUAAGAUAUAAUGUAUAUGUAAACAAUAUUAUUAUUUGAAUUUCGUUCUUUAAAGAUUAAAUUUGAUGAUGUUUAUAAAUAUGAUGUAUGAUUUAAAAAAAAAAGAAAAUAAAUUUGUCUUAAAACGUAUAUGUUAAUAGAUUAGAACCUAUUGUAUCGUAUUUGUAUAUUUGCAGAUCUAAUAUUUGGCCUAUUUUUUUGCUGUAAAAUAUUUCCAACUGUUCUGGCCAGUGAUGUAUAUUAGGCAUACGCUUUCAACUCUGAAUAUUUGUGUGUAGCCUGGCUAAUAUCUUCUUUACGGACUGAUUAAUAUUUUAUUAGAUUCCUUUUCGACGGGUUUUUAGUUUCAAAAUGAGCGUUAAUGCGAUGAAUCAUUAAUGAAGCGCUUCUUGUUGCGUUAUUGCUACUCAGUGCUUUAAUGGAUGUUUGACACAGACGAGGAGGAAUGGAAGUGUUAGAAAAGAUUAGGAAGUCAGUAAUGGGGAUGUGUGGGUGAAUCGAAAAAAACGUGGUUAAAAUAUAAAUUAUGAUAAAAUGAGUUUCCAUAGCAGGAAAAUCCUUUAAUCAGGGUUCGGAAAUGUCCGGACGUGGGGAAAUUAGAAUAUAUAAAGUGAUGUAAUGAGUUUCCAUAGUACUGUAAUUCAUUCUUAAGUGGAGGUCGAAAAUAUCCGGAAGUUGGUAGUAAGAAUAUAAAAUAUGAUGAAAAUGAGUUUCCAUAACUUGUGAUUCCUUUAAUUGAGUGUCGGACGUUGGUUAUUAGAAUUCGAUAAAAAGACAAAAAAGAAAACUCUUGGUUAUGUAAUUUGUCUAAAUAUUUUAUUUCUAUGAAGAUACUAUCGAUGGUUUUGAAAAUAUUUAGAAUAUAUAUAUAUAUAUUUAAAAAAAAAAGUCGAGUAGUUCACUAAGACAAAGUUUCCAAUGGGGUAGG